GGAAGAGGUUUCCCAAGACACCACAGGCCAUGAGGAAAUGAGACUGAGACAAAAGGGCCCUGGAAAGAGUCUGGAAUAUCAAAACGCCCUCUCCAGUGACCAGGUCAGCGUGGCUGGAGGUUUCUGAUGGAAGAUGCCAGAGGUCAGGGAAUAAAGAACGAAUAAGUCAUUUGAAAUUCACAGUGGAAUGGAGCUCCAUUGUGAGCCGUGGAUCUUGGACUCCAAUCACGCUGUCUUCAGCUAUGUGACCUCAGGUGA
rnacentral:lncRNA from 1 species